UAUAGCCAAGUUAUAUAGCUAAUGUACACAUACACAGUAGGAAGCCAGAUUUUAUUUGUUGAUCGACUCACAGAAGGCAAAGCUAAGUUUUAUUUGGAAGGGUUCAACAGGGAAGCAACGAAUAAGCAAUGGAUGACGGCCGAGUUAGUGAAGCAAUAUCGAAUGCACACGCCCAGGCAAUGUUGAAUGUUUCGCAAUGUUUAACAGAUGCUCAAACGGAGGAAUUCAAGACUUUGCUGACUACAAAGAGACCGAACUACGUUCGGAGAUUAGACGGAAAAAAAACCUUUCUAGAAAUCGCGAGUAUUCUAUUAAGUGGGAAAAUAAUAGAGUACGGUCAAUACAGUGAGUUAAGAAAUAUGUUUGUCCAAAUAGGGCGGAAAGACCUGGUUGACAAGCUGACCGCCGCCGAGAAGCAAAUCGCCGAUAUGUAAAAAAACGGAUGGUAAGAGAAAGCGCUCGGCGGGUCUUGCGAUUGCCGUGCAAAAAAUAUCUUGUUCUAAUAAUUGACGACGAGGCCAGGACAAUCAAUCCAACAAGACAUACCUUUUUUCAAAGAAGUAAUGACACUUGUGACUAUAAAUGGAAUACAUGUAUGAUAAUAAAAUAACAACAAGACUAAUGGAUAUGGACGACGAACGGAUUUAAACAUCUUUAUAAUGGCAAAAAUGAAAUACCGUCCAUAAGGGAGAGUUAUCCAUAUGUGCAAUAUUGGUGUAAUCCGGAUAGGUGUGGCACGGUUGACUAAGGAAAGAAGCAACACUCAACACUGUCUAUGAAAAUAAUGGUCAUUUGGUUUAUUACAGAAGUAUACACAUAUUAACAGUAGGAAGGUGCACUGUAUUUGAAUAGGUUAAGUACAAAACGACAACAAGCUUCACCCCUUCCGUUUGUCAAAAUUACAUUAAGAGGAAUGAAUAUGUCAGACAAUACAUCUUCCAUGUACAUGUACAUUGAACAGUUAUACAAAUACCGAAUACGAGAAUAUCGUCAUUUCAAAACGUCCGUGACACACAGCACACCUUACCAUUUUAGUUGUGUACUAUAUGUUACACAAGUUAGUAAAACCACCUUCCGUUUGUAACAUGAAAUAACAUAACCCGCUGCUUUCAAUAUCAACCUCUCCGCCUCGAAAUCCCAGGAUAUGGUUUUCGAUCACGAACGUAACACUGCAUGAUUCGAGCAAAUUCACCUUUAGCAUUAUUUAGUGGAAACGGACUCUAAGACCGGUGUAAUGUUUUUGAGUGUUUCCGUUGCUCCCUUACUCAUUGUUUGAGAAGGCUAAAAGGUAGAUUGACACGUUGCGCUUUGUUUCCACGUUCCGAUAUGCUUGAUGUCUACUUUGGAGAAUGGUUUGUGACGUUACCGGCGUUCACAUCUCCAGACAAUGGUUCCUGAUCUUCACAGAAGAUGGCAUGCAGGUCUCGUCGGGCGCAAGUGAAGACGACAACACAAACAGGUUCUUCCGCAAUCAUUGGGUAAGGAAAUACUCAUGAUAACUACAGACGACUGAUUUACUCAAGACAACAACGAAAUCAACGGUCAACCUGAAUGGUAACGAAAAUGUCAAACAUCAGCAGACAAAAGAGAACACAUCUGGUACAAUAUUCUUGAACCGUCUUGCAGUGCAUCUUUGUUGCGAAGCCAGAGGUGGUGACCGUCACUUUCAUCACACCGGCUUUCGAGAUUACGGGACUCCCUCACGGUGUAAAAUUCCUCUGUAUAUUUUUACACACAGAAUUUCUCUCUGGAGACAGAAUAGGCAUCAAAUUUUCAUUGAUGAAUAAAUGACACAAUAACAUACAUGAUUGGCGCAAAAAUAUCCUUAUGUCGUUAUUAUGGUGGCCGUAAGUAGUAUUUUUGCAUUGCGUACUGUACAUUCGAGCAUUGUAGUUCAUUGGUGGCGUACGUGUGGAGAAAGAAAAGGUACCCAACGUAGCCAACGGACACCACCUGGGACCUUAUAUCAAGGCUUAUUCUACUCGUCUGGCAAGAAGCGUAUGGAUUACAACUAAAAGAGUUUCUAAAUCGGUACCUUUUUGCAAGCCACAUUGACACCGUUUCCUCUGAAGGUCUAGGUUUCCACUGAGUGUGAUUGCGAGAACUCACCCGCCACUACUUUCAGAUGUUAUGCUUCACUACUAGCAGACCAAACCAA